rnacentral:lncRNA from 1 species
UUGAUCAAAAAGAUCAUCAAUCCUAGGUAGUGGGUAUCGAUUCUUAAUUGUAACUUUAUUCAAUUCUCUAUAAUCGAUACACAUUCUCAUCGAUCCAUCUUUCUUUUUCACAAACAACACUGGUGCACCCCAAGGGGAUGAACUAGGUUAAAGGAGGUGAUGAGGAUUGCCCUGUUCCUCUUUUCUUGGUGCUAAUCUAUAAGGUGCUUUAGCUAUUGGUGCAGUACCAGGAAUUAAAUGAAUUCUAAACUCUACUUCUCUAUCAGGUGGUAACCCAGGUAAUUCUUCUGGAAAAACAUCUGG